AGCCUGAUGCAGCGACGCCGCGUGAGGGAUGACGGCCUUCGGGUUGUAAACCUCUUUCAGUAGGGAAGAAGCGAAAGUGACGGUACCUGCAGAAGAAGCGCCGGCUAACUACGUGCCAGCAGCCGCGGUAAUACGUAGGGCGCAAGCGUUAUCCGGAAUUAUUGGGCGUAAAGAGCUCGUAGGCGGUUUGUCGCGUCUGCCGUGAAAGUCCGGGGCUCAACUCCGGAUCUGCGGUGGGUACGGGCAGACUAGAGUGAUGUAGGGGAGACUGGAAUUCCUGGUGUAGCGGUGAAAUGCGCAGAUAUCAGGAGGAACACCGAUGGCGAAGGCAGGUCUCUGGGCAUUAACUGACGCUGAGGAGCGAAAGCAUGGGGAGCGAACAGGAUUAGAUACCCUGGUAGUCCAUGCCGUAAACGUUGGGCACUAGGUGUGGGGGACAUUCCACGUUUUCCGCGCCGUAGCUAACGCAUUAAGUGCCCCGCCUGGGGAGUACGGCCGCAAGGCUAAAACUCAAAGGAAUUGACGGGGGCCCGCACAAGCGGCGGAGCAUGCGGAUUAAUUCGAUGCAACGCGAAGAACCUUACCAAGGCUUGACAUGGACCGGACCGCCGCAGAAAUGUGGUUUCCCCUUUGGGGCCGGUUCACAGGUGGUGCAUGGUUGUCGUCAGCUCGUGUCGUGAGAUGUUGGGUUAAGUCCCGCAACGAGCGCAACCCUCGUUCCAUGUUGCCAGCGCGUAAUGGCGGGGACUCAUGGGAGACUGCCGGGGUCAACUCGGAGGAAGGUGGGGACGACGUCAAAUCAUCAUGCCCCUUAUGUCUUGGGCUUCACGCAUGCUACAAUGGCCGGUACAAAGGGUUGCGAUACUGUGAGGUGGAGCUAAUCCCAAAAAGCCGGUCUCAGUUCGGAUUGGGGUCUGCAACUCGACCCCAUGAAGUCGGAGUCGCUAGUAAUCGCAGAUCAGCAACGCUGCGGUGAAUACGUUCCCGGGCCUUGUACACACCGCCCGUCAAGUCACGAAAGUUGGUAACACCCGAAGC
rnacentral:rRNA from 1 species